GAUGAACGCUGACAGAAUGCUUAACACAUGCAAGUCAACUUGAACUUCGGUUUGGGUGGCGGACGGGUGAGUAACGCGUAAAGAACUUGCCUCACAGAUAGGGACAACAUUUGGAAACGAAUGCUAAUACCUGAUAUUAUGAUUAUAUGGCAUCGUAUAAUUAUGAAAGCUAUAUGCGCUGUGAGAGAGCUUUGCGUCCCAUUAGCUAGUUGGAGAGGUAACGGCUCACAAAGGCGAUGAUGGGUAGCCGGCCUGAGGGGGUGAUCGGCAACAAGGGGACGGAGACACGGCCCUAACUCCUCCGGGAGGCAGCGGUGGGGAUUAUUGAACAAUGGACCAAGAGUCUGAUCCAGCAGUUCUGUGUGCACGAUGAGGUUUUUCGGAAUGUAAAGUGCUUUCAGUUGGGAAGAAAAAAAUGACGGUACCAACAGAAGAAGUAACGGCUAAAUACGUG
rnacentral:rRNA from 1 species